AUAGUCUAGUUUUAGGAUGUGCAUAUUAAGUUUAACACUUUUUUGUAUUUCUGGUGCUUAGCAUAAUUAUUUGUAUAUAUUGCUCAGUAAAUGUUGGAUAAUACCAUCUAUUACUUUACUAUUAGACUUCAAAAUUUUAAUUAGCUAGUUUCAGAUUAUUUUAUACACCAGAGAAAUAACCCCCUUGUGUGCACAUGUGUGUUUAACUCUAUUUCAAUUGUUCCAUUAUUAAUACCCUAUAGUGUUUAUUGUUAGUGAUUGUGUAUAUUUUGAGCAACCAGCUCCAAAUAUAUUUUUAAAAGAUAAACACCAAGAGACUGUCAUCAUUUUGCAUCAGUAUUUUUAGGUAUAUCAAAUCAAGAUGAUGCUGAAUAACCUAUUUAACUUAUUUUUGCUACAUUAACGUUAUAAAUGCUCUUGUUUGAUUACUCAAAUUACAUUUACACUUCAGCCCAGCCUUAAUAUGAAUUCAGUUAUUUGGAGUAGAAUUGAUAGCUGAUAAUGAAUGAUCUCAAAGACCCUCUCGGUUACUGUAUUUCAGACUUAAUUUUGAUGAGGUCAUCUUAUUUUUAAUUAGCUUUUCAGGUUCCUACUUAAGGAUUCAUAACUUUCUUCUGAAGAACUGAAAGCACAUUCAUGUGAAUUAUUUUAUUUUUCAAACAUCCUUCCUGUGUGGUAAGUGGUGUUUUCCUUAUUUAGAAGAAAGGGAAACUGAGACCCAAAUAAUUGUUACAUCCAAAGUCCUGAGUAAUAGAACCAGGACUUGAACCCAAAGAGAUAGAAAUUUGUAUUUUUUAUAUAUCAAAGAUAGCUUCCCUUUGCUCACUGUUGCUUUAAAUCUUAGAGUAUUGUUAUGUAGAACAUUGUCCUCUCCUGUCUUUCUCUGGGUACUUUUCACUUUCUCUAGGUGGGAUAUUCAGGAUAUUAUUGCUUUCAGUUUCGAUGACUGUAUUAUUGACAUGGACUUACUCUUUCACAUUGAACUUGUGGGAAACAAAAACCCAACAAUCCCAAAUCCUUACCAUUUAUUUUUCUCCUAAUAGUAAGCUUAGAAAGCCAGAAGGCCCUUCUGUUUAGCCCAGUGAAUUGUAUCUUGACAGUGGUAUGAGGAAGAAACCAGCAAGAGCUAAGUAGCUCUUGCUGAGUCCAGUCAUCAUAGAGUAUCUGUUAAUUCUUAUUUUGAACUUUGUCAGUUCACACAUACAACUUUCAGACUUAAGUUUCUAGGAAACUUAUAUUCCAUGACUAAAUAUAAAACUGUGAUAAUUAUAUGGGUCACUGUACCCUGUUAGUGUGGAUAAUGGAGAAUUGGUUAACUUUUGAUUAGUUUAUUCAUGUUGAAAUUAUGCUAUUAGUACUUGGUUGCAUAUUUAUAUGUGCUUGCAUUUAGAAUCUCAAAUAUUUUCUGUAAAAUUUCUCCUGGAGAGGUUUACACUUUUACUGCAACCUGUGGGGUGAUUAUACAAAUAAGUUAAUGGUUAUACUUUUUAAUUCCUUUGUAGAUUUUAUAAGGAGGAAGGUUCAUCAGGGUUACAGUCACGGUAGGAAAAUGAAAUUCUACUGCAAUUUAUGACUUCCUACAUUUUGUCACUCUAAAAACCUCUUUUUUGUUUUAUUUGUUUUAUUUUUCAUUAUAGAAGUGUUACAUAUUUACUGUUUU
ensembl:lncRNA